GGGUAGCUUGGAAAAGUGGGUUCCACGUGGUUCAUCUCUAGCUCUCUGCUCUCAUUUGGGUUGCGUUGGUACGAAUCAGGAAACUCGAAAUAUGCUGUAUCCGAAAGUGCACCCGGGAAACAUUUAUCGAAUAAGGGGCAUACUGUUUGCAAUCCCUCGGGUCAUGCUCCCGCAAAAUUAAUCACUUCCUGGAUGACAUGUUCAACCUAAACUGGAAAUAUGUUGGCUGUUGAUAUGACAUCCUCCGGUAAGAAUUACCCAUCACAAUGAC